AUCAUUUAGUAUGCAUAGUUGAGAUUAUGUUUCUCAAUAUAUAUUACUUUGCAUUUAUCAACACUGAAUUUCAUUUGCCAGUUUGUUGUCCAGCUACCCAGUUUUGUGAGAU